ensembl:snRNA U6 U6 spliceosomal RNA
AUUUGUACAUUAAGCAAUCAUUAUUUUUUGAACGAUACAGAGAUUAGCAUGGCCCCUGUGCAAGGAUAACAUGCAAAUUCAUGAAGCAUUCCACAUUUUA